GUGGGGAAUAUUGCACAAUGGGGGAAACCCUGAUGCAGCGACGCCGCGUGAGUGAAGAAGUAUCUCGGUACGUAAAGCUCUAUCGGCAGGAAAGAAAAUGACGGUACCUGACUAAGAAGCCCCGGCUAACUACGUGCCAGCAGCCGCGGUAAUACGUAGGGGGCAAGCGUUAUCCGGAUUUACUGGGUGUAAAGGGAGCGUAGACGGCAGUGCAAGUCUGGAGUGAAAUGCCGGGGCUCAACCCCGGAAUUGCUUUGGAAACUGUGCAGCUAGAGUGCGGGAGAGGUAAGCGGAAUUCCUAGUGUAGCGGUGAAAUGCGUAGAUAUUAGGAGGAACACCAGUGGCGAAGGCGGCUUACUGGACCGUAACUGACGUUGAGGCUCGAAAGCGUGGGGAGCAAACAGGA
rnacentral:rRNA from 1 species